rnacentral:rRNA from 1 species
CCUACGGGAGGCAGCAGUAGGGAAUCUUCCACAAUGGGCGAAAGCCUGAUGGAGCAACGCCGCGUGGGUGAAGAAGGUCUUCGGAUCGUAAAACCCUGUUGUUAGAGAAGAAAGUGCGUGAGAGUAACUGUUCACGUUUCGACGGUAUCUAACCAGAAAGCCACGGCUAACUACGUGCCAGCAGCCGCGGUAAUACGUAGGUGGCAAGCGUUAUCCGGAUUUAUGGGGCGUAAAGGGAACGCAGGCGGUCUGUUAAGUCUGAUGUGAAAGCCUUCGGCUUAACCGGAGUAGUGCAUUGGAAACUGGGAGACUUGAGUGCAGAAGAGGAGAGUGGAACUCCAUGUGUAGCGGUGAAAUGCGUAGAUAUAUGGAAGAACACCAGUGGCGAAAGCGGCUCUCUGGUCUGUAACUGACGCUGAGGUUCGAAAGCGUGGGUAGCAAACAGGAUUAGAUACCCGAGUAGUC